rnacentral:pre_miRNA from 1 species
GGGAGGAGCGCCGGAUCCUGGGCUGUGUCCCCCGUGCCCUGGGCUGCAGGGCCUGCACCAUUGGAAUCGGGCUCCUGGGGCCGCACAGCCCCCU